UGUGGGGGACAUUCCACGUUUUCCGCGCCGCAGCUAACGCAUUAAGUGCCCCGCCUGGGGAGUACGGCCGCAAGGCUAAAACUCAAAGGAAUUGACGGGGGCCCGCACAAGCGGCGGAGCAUGCGGAUUAAUUCGAUGCAACGCGAAGAACCUUACCAAGGCUUGACAUGUUCUCGAUCGCCACAGAGAUGUGGUUUCCCCUUUGGGGCGGGUUCACAGGUGGUGCAUGGUUGUCGUCAGCUCGUGUCGUGAGAUGUUGGGUUAAGUCCCGCAACGAGCGCAACCCUCGUUCCAUGUUGCCAGCGGGUUAUGCCGGGGACUCAUGGGAGACUGCCGGGGUCAACUCGGAGGAAGGUGGGGACGACGUCAAAUCAUCAUGCCCCUUAUGUCUUGGGCUUCACGCAUGCUACAAUGGCCGGUACAAUGGGUUGCGAUACUGUGAGGUGGAGCUAAUCCCAAAAAGCCGGUCUCAGUUCGGAUUGGGGUCUGCAACUCGACCCCAUGAAGUCGGAGUCGCUAGUAAUCGCAGAUCAGCAACGCUGCGGUGAAUACGUUCCCGGGCCUUGUACACACCGCC
rnacentral:rRNA from 1 species